rnacentral:tRNA from 1 species
GCUAGCGUAGCUUAAUAUAAAGCAUGGCACUGAAGAUGCCAAGCUGGGUCUUAAAAAGCCCCGCAUGCA